rnacentral:rRNA from 1 species
CCUACGGGCGGCUGCAGUGGGGAAUAUUGCGCAAUGGGCGAAAGCCUGACGCAGCGACGCCGCGUGGGGGAUGAAGGUCUUCGGAUCGUAAACCUCUGUCAGCAGGGAAGAACGGUCACUGUGCUAAUCAGCAGUGAAUUGACGGUACCUGCAAAGGAAGCACCGGCUAACUACGUGCCAGCAGCCGCGGUAAUACGGAGGGUGCGAGCGUUAAUCGGAAUUUCUGGGCGUAAAGCGCUCGUAGGCGGUAUGUCAAGUCAAGGGUGAAAUCCCCGCGCUCAACGUGGGAACUGCCUUUGAAACUGGCAAACUGGAGUGUGUGAGAGGAGAGUGGAAUUCCAGGUGUAGGAGUGAAAUCCGUAGAUAUCUGGAGGAACAUCAGUGGCGAAGGCGACUAUCUGGCACAUAACUGACGCUGAGGAGCGAAAGCGUGGGUAGCAAACAGGAUUAGAUACCCUAGUAGUC